UCCGUAGGUGAACCUGCGGAAGGAUCACUAGUGAAUACAUCGGGGAGCGUCUUAACUGACCUCCCCAACCCUUCACAAUCCACAUACACCUGUGCACUGUUUUGGCUUUUGAGCAAUCGAAAGCCAAUCAUUUUAUACAAACCCCUAGUUUAAUGAAUGUAACCGUUUUAUAUAAACAAAAUAAAACUUUCAACAACGGAUCUCUUGGUUCUCGCAUCGAUGAAGAACGCAGCGAAAUGCGAUAAGUAAUGUGAAUUGCAGAAUUGAGUGAAUCAUCGAAUCUUUGAACGCACCUUGCGCUCCUUGGUAUUCCGAGGAGCAUGCCUGUUUGAGUGUCAUGAAACUCUCAACCUCUGACUUUCUUAAUCGUCGGUCAGCGGCUUGGAUGUGGGCGCUGCCGGUCUUAAUUGAUCGGCUCGCCUGAAAAACAUUAGCGAAUCCCUUCUGUAAUCGGUUCCACUCGACGUGAUAAGUAUUUCGUCGGGGACAUCUUUAUUGAUGGCCGAGAUAAAGCUGGUUUAAGAUCUGCUUCUAACUCUUUCGUUGCCUUCUGGUAAAGAAAACCCCUCAUGAUCUGGCCUCAAAUCAGGUAGGACUACCCGCUGAACUUAAGCAUAUCAAUAAGCGGAGGAAAAGAAACUAACAAGGAUUCCCCUAGUAACGGCGAGUGAAGCGGGAUGAGCUCAAAUUUAAGAUCUGGCUGCC
rnacentral:rRNA from 1 species